UACAGAGGGGGCAAGCGUUGUUCGGAAUUACUGGGCGUAAAGGGCGCGUAGGCGGCCUGCUAAGUCGAACGUGAAAUCCCCGAGCUCAACUCGGGGAACUGCGUCCGAUACUGGCAGGCUUGAAUCCGGGAGAGGGAUGCGGAAUUCCAGGUGUAGCGGUGAAAUGCGUAGAUAUCUGGAGGAACACCGGUGGCGAAGGCGGCAUCCUGGACCGGCAUUGACGCUGAGGCGCGAAAGCCCAGGGGA
rnacentral:rRNA from 1 species